CCGAUGGUUAAGGAACUCGGCAAAUUGCCUCCGUAACUUCGGGAGAAGGAGGACCCCAGUAGCGUGAUGAGACUUGCUCUCUGAGCGUGAAGGGGUGGCACAAAAUUGAGGGAAGCGACUGUUUACCAAAAACACAGCAGCGUGCUAAGCCGUAAGGCGCUGUAUACGCUGUGACUCCUGCCCGGUGCUGGAAGGUUACGGGGAUGGGUUAGUCCUUCGGGACGAAGCUCUGAACCUAAGCCCCAGUAAACGGCGGCCGUAACUAUAACGGUCCUAAGGUAGCGAAAUUCCUUGUCGGGUAAGUUCCGACCUGCACGAAUGGAGUAACGACUUCCCUACUGUCUCAACCAUAGACCCAGCGAAAUUGAAGUACGAGUAAAGAUGCUCGUUAGCUGCAGAAGGACGGAAAGACCCCGUGGACCUUUACUAUAACUUGAUGUUGUGUUUUGUCAUAUGUUGUGUAGGAUAGGUGGGAGACUUGGAAGCAUGGACGCUAGUCUGUGUGGAGUCAUCGUUGAAAUACCACCCUGCAUAUGGUGAGGCUCUAACCUAGACCCGUUAUCCGGGUUGGGGACAGCGUCAGGCGGGUAGUUUAACUGGGGCGGUUGCCUCCUAAAGAGUAACGGAGGCGCCCAAAGGUUCCCUCAGCCUGGUUGGCAAUCAGGCGUUGAGUGCAAUGGCAAAAGGGAGCUUGACUGCGAGACCUACAAGUCGAGCAGGAGCGAAAGCUGGGCAUAGUGAUCCGGCGGUUGCGUGUGGAAGCGCCGUCGCUCAACGGAUAAAAGGUACCCCGGGGAUAACAGGCUAAUCUUGCCCAAGCGUCCAUAGCGACGGCAAGGUUUGGCACCUCGAUGUCGGCUCAUCGCAUCCUGGGGCUGAAGCAGGUCCCAAGGGUUGGGCUGUUCGCCCAUUAAAGCGGUACGCGAGCUGGGUUCAGAACGUCGUGAGACAGUUCGGUCCCUAUCCUCUGCAUCCGGAGGUGAAUUGAGGAAAGCUGUCCCUAGUACGAGAGGACCGGGACGGACGCAGCUCUCGUGUGCCAGUUGUCCUGCCAAGGGCAUGGCUGGUUAGCGACCUGCGGAAAGGAUAACCGCUGAAAGCAUCUAAGCGGGAAGCCUCUUCCAAGAUGAAUUCACCCACAGGGUUAACCUGGUAAGGCCCGUGGUAGACCACCACGUUGAUAGGCCGGAAGUGUAAGCGUGGCAACACGUUCAGCUGACCGGUACUAAUCGGCCGAGGGCUUGAGUC
rnacentral:rRNA from 1 species